rnacentral:rRNA from 1 species
AUACUUAGGGGGCGAGCGUUGUCCGGAAUGAUUGGGCGUAAAGGGCGCGUAGGCGGCCCGGUAAGUCUGGAGUGAAAGUCCUGUUUUUAAGAUGGGAAUUGCUUUGGAUACUGUCGGGCUUGGGUGCAGGAGAGGUAAGUGGAAUUCCCAGUGUAGCGGUGAAAUGCGUAGAGAUUGGGAGGAACACCAGUGGCGAAGGCGACUUACUGGACUGUAACUGACGCUGAGGCGCGAAAGUGUGGGGAGCAAACAGGAUUAGAUACCCUGGUAGUCCACACUGUAAACGAUGAAUGCUAGGUGUAGGGGGUAUCGACCCCUUCUGUGCCGCAGUCAACACAAUAAGCAUUCCGCCUGGGGAGUACGGCCGCAAGGUUGAAACUCAAAGGAAUUGACGGGG